AGAUUGAACGCUGGCGGCAUGCUUUACACGUGCAAGUCGAACGGUAACAGGCCGCAAGGUGCUGACGAGUGGCGAACGGGUGAGUAAUGUAUCGGAACGUGCCCAGUCGUGGGGGAUAACGCAGCGAAAGCUGCGCUAAUACCGCAUACGAUCUAUGGAUGAAAGCGGGGGACCGUGAGGCCUCGCGCGAUUGGAGCGGCCGAUAUCAGAUUAGGUAGUUGGUGGGGUAAAGGCUCACCAAGCCAACGAUCUGUAGCUGGUCUGAGAGGACGACCAGCCACACUGGGACUGAGACACGGCCAGACUCCGUACGGGAGGCAGCGAGGUGGGAAUUUUGGACGUAAGUGGGCGCAAGGCCUGAUCCAGCAAUCGCCGCGUGACGAGG
rnacentral:rRNA from 1 species